GACGAACGCUGGCGGCGUGCUUAACACAUGCAAGUCGAGCGGUAAGGCCCUUUCGGGGGUACGACGAGCGGCGAACGGGUGAGUAACACGUGGGUGACCUGCCCUUAGCUCUGGGAUAAGCCUGGGAAACUGGGUCUAAUACCGGAUAUGACUCCAUGACGCAUGUUGUGGGGUGGAAAGCCUUGUGCGGCUAGGGAUGGGCCUGCGGCCUAUCAGCUUGUUGGUGGGGUGANGGCCUACCAAGGCGACGACGGGUAGCCGGCCUGAGAGGGCGACCGGCCACACUGGGACUGAGACACGGCCCAGACUCCUACGGGAGGGCAGCAGUGGGGAAUCUUGCGCAAUGGGCGAAAGCCUGACGCAGCGACGCCGCGU
rnacentral:rRNA from 1 species